rnacentral:rRNA from 1 species
GACGAACGCUGGCGGCGUGCCUAAUACAUGCAAGUCGAGCGGACAGAAGGGAGCUUGCUCCCGGAUGUUAGCGGCGGACGGGUGAGUAACACGUGGGUAACCUGCCUGUAAGACUGGGAUAACUCCGGGAAACCGGAGCUAAUACCGGAUAGUUCCUUGAACCGCAUGGUUCAAGGAUGAAAGACGGUUUCGGCUGUCACUUACAGAUGGACCCGCGGCGCAUUAGCUAGUUGGUGGGGUAAUGGCUCACCAAGGCGACGAUGCGUAGCCGACCUGUGAGGGUGAUCGGCCACACUGGGACUGAGACACGGCCCAGACUCCUACGGGAGGCAGCAGUAGGGAAUCUUCCGCAAUGGACGAAAGUCUGACGGAGCAACGCCGCGUGAGUGAUGAAGGUUUUCGGAUCGUAAAGCUCUGUUGUUAGGGAAGAACAAGUGCGAGAGUAACUGCUCGCACCUUGACGGUACCUAACCAGAAAGCCACGGCUAACUACGUGCCAGCCGCCGCAGUAAUAC